AGCAGAGUGGCGCAGUGGAAGCGUGCUGGGCCCAUAACCCAGAGGACCUUGCAUCGAAGCCUCGCUCUGCUA